CCUGUUUCACAGUUAUAACCGUAACUUUGAUCGCAAACAAGAAUUUACUACUUACUCUCUGCUAUUUUAUGUUCGACGGACUCAACUGUUAUAAAAAGGAUAUUUCUUACAAAUAAAAAAUGAACUGGAUUUCAAAAACGAUGUUCCACUUGCUAAUAUGUGCUUCGAUUCUGCUUAGAACGAAUACUGUAAACGGAAUAGACACGGGCACUAUUGAUCCUAAAUGUGAAGUUGACUGUGCAUGCUGUAAAGAUCGUAACUGUGGUCCACGUGGCUACUGGGCUAAAGGCAACUGUUACAGUGGCUGUAUUGAUGGAUACAGAGGAGGGCGUUGUCUUCUAAAAUGUGAUUACCCUGAAUGUACACAGUGCCCAGACUUGUCAUAUGUAUGUACAAUAUGUAAGGCGGGUUACUAUCCUGGCUCAAGUAAGAACUGUUCGUCAACAUGUCCCGUCAGCUGUAAGACAUGUACAUCAAGCACCUAUUGCACGGAAUGUAUUGAUAACUUUUAUAGUGCCAAUGGUUUCAAUGACUGUAGAUAUCGUUACUGUCCAUCACACUGUACAUGUGAGCAGAAUGCGUGUGUUUCAUGUGAAAGUGGUUACUUCAAUGUAAGUUCAUCGUGCAUUAGUAAAUGUCCAUCAACUUGCGUCAGCUGCUCAGCUAAAGACAAAUGUAGUUCGUGCACAGAAGGUAAAUAUAACGGAUAUGAGUUUGACAGGAAAGAUCGUCUUCUGUUGAAUAACUGUUCUCAUGGAUGCCGGGAGAAUUGUACCUCUUGUUCAUCUUAUAAUAAUUGCUCACAAUGUAAGCCAGGUAGGUACGGUUUAACAUGUCAGAACGAUUGCUCCUUCGGAUGCGAAAAUAACAUAUGUGAGAUUCAGUCUGGAAAUUGCAAUUGUAAAGACAAUUUCUCUGGUAAUAACUGUUCUGACUGUGUCCCUGGUAAAUUUGGCGCUUCAUGUGAGAAGACCUGUCCUACGUUCUGCAAAAAUAAACGUUGUGACAAAUCUACAGGUGAUUGUUUGGAUGGAUGUAUAGUUACUACUAUUGUUGGCAAAACGUGUAAUGCAUGUGUAAAUGGUAGUUACGGGGAUAUCUGCAACGCAAGUUGUCCUAGAAAUUGCAAGGAUAUUAAUUGCGAAAGAGAUAGCGGUGAAUGUUCCUACGGGUGCCAAGACAAUUUCAAUGGAUCAAAGUGUGAAGCUUGUAUAGAUAGUAGAUAUGGAGAAUCUUGUAAUCUUUCCUGUCCUCAGAAUUGUGAUGAUGGUAGAUGUAACAAAACGUCUGGGCAUUGUUUCGCCUGCACUGGAAACUAUUAUGGAAACAAAUGCAACGACUGUAUCAAAGGGUUUUAUGGGUCAACAUGCAAGGAUGAAUGUUCCACUCAAUGUUUGAAUGAUGUGUGUAAUAGAGCUACAGGGAUAUGUGAUCUAGGUUGCAAAGGGAAUUAUUCUGGGGAUAAGUGUUGUGUUGAGGGCGGUAACUGUUUUAAUUGCUCUUCCAACUCCGAGUGCAACAAGUGCAAAUCCGGAUAUUUUAGCGAACAGUGCAACAAAACAUGUUCCUCAAAUUGUAGUGAUUCUUGUGAUUUUGUAACAGGCGCUUGCUAUUCUUGCAAAAAAGACAUGUACAGUCCUUUUUGCAACGCAACGUGUUCAUUGUCUUGCAAAAUAUCACAGGAUGCAAACUCGAGUAGAUGCGAAUUAAAGCAUGGAACCUGCCUCCAUGGAUGUGUAGAUGGCUUUUACGGUCCAAACUGUUCUGAGUCCUGCAAUAGCCAAUGUAUUGACAAUUUGUGCAUGCAGAAUACAGGCCAAUGCACAAACGGAUGUUCAUCUGAUGAUCCUGUGUGUACUAAAAGAUCAGGACAGAAAUCGAGCGACUCUACUGAAGCGACAGGGCCAAUUGCAGGAGGAGUUGUUGGACUAAUUAUUUUAGUAACUGUGGUCAUUGUGGUGGCUUUUGUUUACAAACGAAGGCAAGGCAAAAAUGAAAGUAGUGGACGAAAUAGAGAAAUGCCGAGACACACAGCCAGGGAAGAGCAUACAUAUGGAAAUAUCACAGAGAACCAUUCGGUGGUUACUUCAUCAUCUGUAGUAAAUAUUGGUGACGUCAGGGUAGAGGAGCAAGGUGAUGAUUUUGCAACCAAUAGGGACGAGACUUACUACAACACUGAACAAAAUAACAACAGAGUGAACGUUAACAAUCUACUUACGUAUGUUACCAAAGAACACGUUGAUUCAUUUGAAAAUGAAUUCAAGAAGCUAAAUAAAGGAUUAGACUUGACAGAGAAUUGCACCUUUGCCAAAAAGCCCGAAAAUAUUGCGUUGAACAGGUACAAUGGAAUAUACCCGUAUGACCAUUCCAGAGUGACUUACCCUGGUCAGCCGGACUUUUUCAUCAAUGCAUGUUACAUCGAUGGUUACAACAGAAGGAAGGCUUAUAUCGCCUCUUUAGGCCCUACUGCGAAGACUACUGAUACUUUCGCUACAUUCUGGAGUAUGGUUUGGAAUGAGAAAUCUGACAUCAUUCUUAUGUUGACAAAUCUUCGUGAAGCUUCGGGUAUGAAGUGUGAACAAUACUGGCCAAAAGUGGAUAAAGAAACGUUGUAUGGUCAAAUCAAAGCAAAAUGUCGAAGUGUAGAAGAAUAUGCCGAGUACACUGUCAGAACGUUCACCAUUGCAAAGGGUGAAGAACAGAGAAACCUACUACAGCUACAUUACACGGCAUGGCCUGAUAAAGGCGUUCCCCAGGAGGUAACGAGCCUUGUAGAAUUCCGACAAAGGGUGAAGGCAGUGCCGGUGACUUUUGAUGGUCCCACCAUAGUCCAUUGCAGUGCUGGAGUAGGUAGGACAGGAACCUAUAUUGCUCUAGACCAGCUUACAGAAGAAGGCAAGUGCGAAGGAUCUGUUGAUGUAUUCAACUGUGUAAACAGAAUGAGGGAGCAAAGGGUCAAUAUGGUCCAAACUGCUGAGCAGUACACAUUUCUUUACAAAUCGCUGGUACACUCGCUUUCUUUCGGAUGCGAGGCACUGACAGCUGAGCAGAUACAAGGAAUUAUGUAUGAGACAGAUGAUAAGAUGUUCACAAAGAUGUAUCAGACAUUACGGCAAGAAGUUGAUAUCGAGAGCAAAGAAGAGGUAGACGCACGUCAGGAGAACAGACGAUUAUAUAAGGACAAGAACCGGCGACAGUCUGAUAUACCCGGAGGCAGUAGUCGAGUGCGUUUGUACCUCUCCAGGAAGGACGGACAACAUGACUACAUCAACGCCGUUUUCAUAAAUAGUUUCAGGAUCAAGAACCUGUUCAUUGCUGCACAGUCUCCGCUUCCAGGAACUAUUGAAGACUUCCUCAGCAUGAUAUAUCAACAAAAUAGUACAUGUGUGGUAGCAUUGGAGGAGCCACACAGUCAACACAAGGACGUUGGAAAAUAUCUUCCUGCUGAUAAUGAGACUUACACCUUUGGCAAUUUUACUAUAAUGAGCUCAAAGUUUGCGACAAAACCACAGUAUGUCUUGAAAAAAUUAUCCAUUCGCAAUGAGAAGGGUGAGGAGAAAACAGUUUCUCACUUCCGGUACAGAAACUGGGAAAAUUCUAAGAAAGUUCCAGAUAUCGCCGAAGAAUUUGUCCAGUUUAUAAAAGAAGUAGAAAACUACAUCCGCCAACAAACUGAGGACACGCCUAAUAUAAUAGUUCACUGCUUAAAUGGCUACGAAAGGUCUGGAUUAUUUUGUGUCGUGUACAAACUGCUAGAGAAACUGGAGGCAGAGCGACAAGUCAGUGUUGUUAACACUGUGAGGAAAAUCAGAACACAUCGGAAGCAGUCGAUCACAUCUGUGGAACAACUUAUGUUUUGCUACCAGUGCAUUUCUGCCUACAUGGAAAUAUACAACACCUAUUCAAACUUUGCUACUUAAGAAAAUUGAGAACUUGGCUUGAAGCGGGACAUAGUGAGCAGUAAACUCACAGAAACAUCAACCACUGAGGCUUGUUUGGCUUGAUGCAAUGACCUUAAACAGUUAAAGGAUUUUCCAGGAAGGUUUAUACACCACAAGCUGGAUUCUUUUGGGUAAUGAAAGAACUAUGAAUAUGUGAAUGGGAAUGAAAC
rnacentral:misc_RNA from 1 species